ensembl:lncRNA
UUUUUUUUUUUUUUUUUUUUUUUCUCUUGGCACUGACAGAUCCAAAAAGGUUCUGAGAGAUAAAGACCCCUCUGAUGUCGAACAGGUGGCUCGUCCAGGUCAUCAAGCACGAUGGUGGCUGUGGAAACAAAGCGUGUGGCGGUCCCACCUCGGCGCGAGGCGCGGGGGCGCGGCGGGGAUGCGCUUGGCAUUUAAAGGUCAGUCCCUGGCAGGUCCUCGGCACGUUCCCGGCAGCAGGUGACCUCCGUGACUGCUCUCCCAUCUCACACAUCCGCCUCACCAAGGAGCCAGGCUGCACCUUUAUGAAACUGUUUGCAGAAGAACGAGGCGUGAUCACAACUAAGCUGAAGGGUGUCAUAUUCACUUUACCACCGACAUGAGGACCAGUGGUUGAAUAUUCGAUUACAUGUCAGUCACAGCACAUUAGGCAAUCUUCCAGUCUGCCAGCUUUGCCCUUCCCAGCUCCCAGCUAAGUGUCAUCAGGAAAGAAGUAGCACUGUGAAGGCAGGAAUUGGCUUGCUCUGGGAGCUUCAGUCCCCAUGAAAAAUGUCCUCUCUUAUCAUUCCAGUGAGUCUAUUGUUUCCCCCAUACUCUGGAGGGAGGAAGGUUGUUUGUGCCUCCUGACUGUGGAUUCAAACCACUCAUGGUGCAGUUGCUGCUCAAUUUCAUCUCUAGAUCCGAAGGUAUAAAUGUGUGGAAAAGCAGCAAAUGUUGUAUUGAAAAUUUAGGGAGCUGUCAUUCCAACUGCCAUUACCAAAAAUAUUCUGCUCUUUCAAAUAAAGUGGCUAUAAAAACUUGUUACUCUGACUGAGCAUUUUCUGGACUGUUUUGCUUGCAAAUUACUGAGUGAAAAUAUGCUAGGAGUGGAAGUUAAGGACUGUGGACAAUUUCCCACUUUGCUUAAGCCAGAAAAAUCCCAUCUCAGCUCCAAGAAGGAAACUACUUUCCAAAAUCUCAUGCAGAAAGUCCCGGUUCAGCUGGAAUGAGCUGCUCCGUUUGCACUCGGUGGUUUCUGGAAUAAUAAAAAGCCCUGUAUGCCCAUGCCGGCCAGCACAAGCACCAAAGGAUAAUGUGGGUAGAUAAUUCCCUUUUAGAACUGGCAUUGGGGGUUUAUUACGGUUUUUGUUAAGCAUCCCCCACCUGUUAGCACCAGCCACGUGAGGAGUAAACGGGUGGCGUUCCCACUUUGCAUCUUCUGCUUCAAGGUUGAGCUGCACCUCCUGUUUGGAAAGUGUUCAAAGUGAAUUUAAAAUCAAAGGAGACAACACUGCCAUGACUGGGUGGGACAUUCAUAAGCAGAACUUUAGCUUUGUCUACUUUGAUUUCAGAUUCACUUUGAGUGUUUUUCUGACAGGAAGUGCAGGCAUCACAAGACUCUUGGUAGCAGCAUCACCAUUCACUUUCCAAGUGACCCUUACUAUUUAGCUAGAGAGACAAUAAGAUUGUGGUGGGUGUCAAUGGGAAUAACCUUUAUGAUACUUCCAAAGCUUCAAUUCUGUCCUCAGGCUCCACAACUCCAAGAAAUACUUAGAGGGAGAGGCUGCCUGCGGAGUGAGGAGUUCAGUGUGAUGGAUGAAACAAUAAAAAUGACACCGCUGGUAAAACUGAAAGUUUAUGUGUUGUGCCUGUGAUUGAUGGCAGGGUGGUGGCAUCUGGACCCUGUGUCAUAUUAUGGGUGCAGCAUGAGACCCUCCGUGUGGCUGGACAGCUGCACCCAUGGCUGGAAAGUCUAGGGAGGUGAAUUUGGCCUGUCUGGUGAAAGAACACCUCCAUGAGGAAUUGUCUGCAAGGAUUAAGGGCAGCUCUCAGCAAAAGAGUGAGGUGGAAAGUGCAGGUCUCCAUUUUGGGUUGCUCUUGGAGAAAAUGGCUGUUUUCCCCCUGCAUCACCCAGCUCUUCUUGCCCAUGUUUGAAAAGGGCAUCCUCAGUGCUGACAGCAGAGCUGUUAGAGACAGAAGGACUGGGCUGAGAGCAGCCAGGGAAGUGCACCUUACUUUUAAAAAGGAAGAUGUGCCUUGACAGCUUGCCAAAUGCCACAUCUGCCUCUCUUUGCACCUCUGUGGGUGAAGCUGAACAGCAAGGUGGUGAAGAUGAGCGAACUUAUCCAUUAACUAUGUGAGAUCCCCUCUCACCCUUUCUGUACAACAGCUAUAGGUGAUUCCUGACUGGAAGGAUGUCCUGGAAACCCCAUCUGCAACACCUUGGGGGAGGCACAGCUGUGAGCUCCCGGUGGUGGGGUGAGGAGGCACCACACCACUAACACCUCAGAUGGGCCGGGAGGAGGGUGGGGAGCAUGGGCACUGGUAAAUGGUUUUGUUUCCCUCCUCCACUUCCCCCCACCAUUGUCAGUUGUCUUUCCUACUGGAAUUUUUUUCAUCUUUCAUGAUGUCUCUCCGUUGGGGAAUGCUGAUGAGGAUGUGCAAGCCACAAUGGCCUUUGACUUGGCUGCUUCUCAAGAGCUGAAUCUGUCCUUCAGUAAACCAGGCAAGUCUAACUUGGUUUAUCUGAUUAGGUGGAACGAUCUGGGCAUUGCAUCUCUAAUGUUGCAUUUUUAUUUCCUGCUCACAAUGAUACUAAAUCAUAACCUGCUGGUCUGCAGGUGUCUUGGUGGGAAUAUUUUGCCUGUGACACUGGGUCUGUAUUUUGCAUGCAGCACAUUGACACUGUGUAAAUGUUAUGAACAAGUUCUAUUACCUUUGAAACACAGAAACAACAGUUAUAAUUAUAGUCUGAAGAUGCUGUAGUGUUUCAAGUGUGCCUGCAGUAGUAGUGCUGUGAUGAAAACACAGUGUGUCCCUGCAGCUUUUGCUGUGUUCAGUGACAUCAUAUUUAUGUUGCAUUCAAGCUUAUACUUCUGUCCUUAAACACAAACAGCUUGUGUGAAACCUCUUAGGUUUUUCUUUUCAUUUCUUGAGAUAGUCCCUGGACUAAAAUUAGUUGAAGCAGUGAAUAAGGUAGGAUGGUGCAUUUUUCAGGCUUUGUGUUGGGUUUUGCUGUGGAUAAGUUGUAGGUAGUUUGUGUUGUGGGAUUUGAAAAAUGAAUGAAUAGGUUUUAAAUAACCCCUAAAAGGGCAUCUGCUGCUUAUUGGGUUGUGAUUUCCUAGUCCUGGGGUAUUUGACAGUCCUGUGAUUUGUGAUAAUGGAAUUACUGAAAAAAAACCCAAAACAACUAUCAACAAAGACAUGACAUUGUGAGUGUGCAAAACAAAGUUUUUAUUCUUUUAAGGGUGAAAUAUCUCAGGCAUGUGGCCUUAAAUGUUAAUCUACCUGAGCCUUCUCCCAAGUGGAGAUGUGUAACCACAUCCCAGUGGCACAGCUGUGAAAAGCUGACUUCAUGCCUACCCCUGCUUGUUCAUAAAGUUCCAAUAAAGAUUUUAUCUUGUUUCAUUUAAAUUGUCCUAAAUUCAGUUUUUCAUUUAAAUUGUCCUAAAACACAAGGAGCUGUGCUUGGAUCACACUCACUAGAUGCCCAGAGGUUUCAGUUUCUAAAGAAGACUUUUUCAGCUCAAGAUCUGAAUUCCUUGUUGCUCCCUGGGGAUACAGCAGUGUGUCCACAUCCCCUCUCUCCCAUUGGUGAGCAGUGGCAUUGCUGCUGGUUCUGUAGCACUGAAGCAGCCCAAGCACAUCUUUGAGCCCAUAGCCAGAGGUGUUACAAACACUAGGAACCACAGAAACAUCUAAAAAUAAACACUGUGUAAAACUGGUUGAAGAAUAAGGCAAGAAUUUUCCAACAAAUAUCUAAUUACUAUAUUAAAAAUAUUUCUUUCAUGUAAGACUUAGCUUAACUAACUCUGUAAAUUAAAUGUGGCAUCUUUCUAAUGCUUCUCUGAGUCUCUGUGAUUGUUUUCAUUAUUGUUACGAUUGUAACUGCUACUGGAAUGAAAUUAUUUACACAUAGAGCUAAAUGAUUAUUUUCAUUGCUAUGCAGCUCCUGGCUGCAUUAGACCGUAUUGCAGCCACAAAACACCCAUCCUUUUCAAAGCUGCAGGUUUCCCCAUUUUUGGGAGUGGCUGUGACCUGAUGUUCUUGUUGUUUGUGCAUUCAGGGUGUUUCAGGAUGCAUCAUGUGGAAAGUGGCAGCUAAAGGGUCCUCUGCCAUCACAGCGGAGUGGAGCUGCUUUGGACUUUUUUUACUGCAUGGUGGUCACUCAACCACUCUCUGCCCACUCUGGGAGCCUUCUGCAUGACUGUUCUCUCACUUCAGGAGACCCUUUUCCAUGUGGGAACACCUGUUCAUCCUAAAAAUGUAUCCUUUAGUAUGUGACUUCAUACAGGCUCCAUGGCUAUUGGUGCUUUAGAAGCUUCCCUCAAGUUUUAGGACCUUUUUCCUAUUUGCCUUUGGUAAACCUGGGUAGCAUGGAAACAUCCCCUGGACACCAGAGCAUUGGUGUAACCACUGGUUGGUGGGGCAGUGACCAUUAGGGCCAUAAAAACUGAUGAUGUGUGUAAGCAGCAGAGCACAUAAUGGCCACGACUCCGCGGCACUUCAUCUUUAACACAUGGACAGACACGGUCCAGUGGAUAAAGUGCUCGUGUGAGAGCCAGGAGAACUCACUUGAAUCCUAGAUUGGCCCCUGCCUUGCCUGUGACCUUUUGAUGGUCACUUCCCUACCCAUGGCUUUGCUGUUUUCCUGUCUGGGAAGAAGGGGGAAUAUAAGAAUCAGGUGUGGGGGGUUGCAACGCCACGUUUUGAUUUAUGAGAGGUCACAACCAUCGUGUCUGAGAUCCUAAUGGGAGAUUCUGGAGAAGUGCAGGGAGUUGGGCAGGUGUUUGGUUGGAGCAAAUCAGCAUAGCUCAAUUAAAAUCAAUAGUUUUAUUCCAUGUGGAGUGAUAAAGGAUAGUUAAACCACUGGUCCUUAGUAUGUAAGAGGAGUUAGGGAUGCUGAUCCUUCUCUCCCAGGAAAGGUUGUGCCCAAGAACAUGAAUUUAUGAAUAAAAGACUGUGGGUUGUGGGACUUGUUAACAAACAAGAAUGAUGUGUGGAGGUGAAUCAUGGGGCAAUUUUAUUUAGGCAACAUGGAAAAUGAACUAGAAACUCUCGAGUUACCUUUGACUCCUUGGCAAGGGCAAAUUAAAAUUGGCAACCCUCUGUCUAGCAAUAUAAAAGCAUUAACAUCUGCAGAGCUUCUGUUGGUAAAUUUAUGGAACAGAUUGAGUAAAACUGAUGUAAAAAUGGAGCAGGCUUUGGAUAUGAGGAACUUUCAAAGUAGAUAUUCUUUCUGGAGCUGGUCUGCAGCUUGUGCUGGUUUAGAUAAACUUGCCUAGUUGACCUACUUCAAAUCCCAACCUGAAGGCUCUUAAAACAAUAAAAAAAAAAAUUAUCCCCCAUUUCCAGACAUAAAACAAACUGACAUAAACCCAAUUUUAAAGUAUACACACACACAAAAAAAGUAUUUUAAAAGCAUUUCAGUUAAAAGAAAAUUCCCAGCUUAAUGCAGGGAACUUUUGCUUAGGCUGGGCCUUCAUUUCCAAAAUCUGUACAGUAAUAUGACACAAUAGACUGAGGUGCUGAUUAUGCCACAGAUAAUGUAGUUGUUAAUGAUCAAGUUAAUGUUAAAAGCCAUUACUGCUCAUUGACAUAAUUCUCAGAACAUUAUACUGGAGAAGUGCACCUUUUGUGUAGCAACAAAAUGACAAAAUUGAAAUGUUAAAAGUUGAGUGCCUGAAUAAUAGCCUGUGAAAUCAUUUAGACAAGAUCAUUGUUGUUGCUAUUGUAAAAGAGCCACAGAGUGACAGAAUGAGAAAAAAAAAAAAAAAAAAAAAA